GCCGGUAUAGCUCAGCUGGUAGAGCAACUGACUUGUAAUCAGUAGGUCCUCAGUUCGAUUCCGAGUGCCGGCACCA
rnacentral:tRNA from 5 species